GGAGCGUCGUUGUGUUCGAUGGACCGAUACUUCUUUCGUCGCGAAGAUAGUCUUCAUGUACGAUCAUCGAAAGAUAUUUUACCGAUUAUAUUCAUAUGACGCAAUCUUCAGACUGAAAAAACAUAAAUUACUAAAAUGAACUUGAUUUCGACUAUAAGUUAUCUCACUAUUCUAAUGAAGUUUCAAUUAAGGAUUCAAAAAAGUUCAAAGACAGAGAUCACAUGAUCGAGGGUAAUGGUGGAGAAUAAUCGGGAAAAAAAGCGAGUGGGGAGGGAAAGACUCAGGAUCAACAAUGAAGGCGUCUCUUUUCUUAACGAAGGAAGAUCGUCGACGAUCGUGAAUCUCGUAAAUCCUUGGAUUAUUAAUACCUGGCAGUCUUCGUGCGUGAAUCCGGCAGGUGGUUGGCCGGCCACCUCUAAUCGCGAUCCCCGAGAAUAAUUUACGUUCGUAUUCCUCGGGUGCCGAAGAAGGAAACGUUAACGACUAUCGGGGGGCCUUUCGAGCUUCUCUCUCUCUCUUUCUCUCUCUCUCUCUCUCUCUCUCUCUCUCUCUUACUUUCUCUCUCUCUCUCUUUUUCUCUCUUUCUGUUGCUCUUUAUCUUUUGCGUGAUUUGCUCGUCGAUCGUGUGCUAAGCCAGGUGACCGGGACUCAACUGUACUUCCUCUUCUCCUUUUCCUAUUUCUCGUCUAAUCUUUUAUCGUUUCUCCAUCGUUUUUUAUUUUCAAUCUGUCGAGUCAAACUCGAUCAUCGUAAUUCGUUGAUUCUGAUCUUUAAAGUACUGGAUUAAGAAGAUCCAUAACAGAAUCGGCGAAAGGUGUCAUACAUUAAUGGUAUCAUUCAUUUUAAAAUAAUGUCCGAAAAUAUUAUUCGAUUGAAGCAAGAUUUAUCAGACGACGGAGAUUCGUAAUAAACAUAAUCGUUCAAAUCCUUAAAGAACAAAGGAGAUAACGUUCGAGUCUCAUCGUAAGCAAGGUGUAAGACGAUCGAGUUCGAUCCAAUAGAUCAGGCGGCAGAUUCCUUACCAGUUAUUACAAGAGGUCGAAGGUCGAUCGCUCGCAUAAACCAUUUAGGCCCGAUCGACUAUCGAUACCGAUAUUUCCCAGAGGUAUCGACUAUCUUCUUCGUCGAUCUCUCGCUCGGACAAGACCUCGUUCUUCUUCCUU